GUCUCUGUAAGCCAAUGUCUUACACUUACUGUCUAGUCACAGAACCCUGGGGCGUUAUCUGGGACAGCCUGGUAGCUGAGAGGUCCCUGGGUGUGGUGACGAUGGAGCAAGAAGCAUUUGCCCUUCUUGAGUGUCUCUCUCCCCCACAGCGCUUCAGCAUGGAAGGCAUCUCCAACAUUCUGCAGAGUGGCAUCCGCCAGACCUUUGGCUCCUCAGGAACUGACAAACAGUAUCUGAACACAGUCAUUCCUUACGAGAAGAAAGCCUCUCCUCCCUCAGUGGAAGACCUGCAGAUGCUGACAAACAUUCUCUUUGCCAUGAAGGAGGAUAAUGAGAAGGUGCCUACUUUGCUAACGGACUACAUUUU
rnacentral:sRNA from 1 species